ACCUCCUUCAUGAUGUUCCAACAGUAGCUAUAACUAUGGCUUCCCACACACGGGUUGCACAUUGUUCUGCCCCUGGACCUUUGCUUGUGUAGAACAUUUUGUUCCCACUUUAUCCUGGUGGCUCAGCGGAUCAUUAGUCACCAUAUAAUUGUUAGCUGUGGCAUGAUGCCCCUUGGUAACCUCUCAUCUAAUGUCCACCUCUGGGCUGUGUGCACCACUCCUUGUAGGAACCUGUGCAAGGCUGUUUGCUCAAGAGAGCAUGGACUUCCUAAGGGACAUUGCUCAUGUAUCUCCAUCACUCCAGUACUGGCCACAACAAAGGUACACAACCUGGUGUCUAAUAGAAUCAUUGAAAGGCUUUCUAAAAAUACACCAGCUGCCUGUGGUGAAGGUGGAAUGCUACCAUCAUUGUCACUUAGUCAAAGAUGCGAAAAUGGCUGAAGAUACAGCCUAAGAAAUGGAAUCUGGGGGAAUAGGC
rnacentral:lncRNA from 1 species